GAGACUAUACUUUCAAGGAUCAUUUCUGUAGUUUGUUCAGAAGUUUCUCCGAAGGUGUAGAGCAAAAAAAAAAGUCAUUUCUGA
ensembl:snoRNA U3 Small nucleolar RNA U3